GGGGUCAAUGAGUGCCCUAUACAUUGAUAACAGUGUGACAUAUUUUUCUUUGUAUAUUGUAAUAACAAGAUUAGCUAGAUACUCAUUACUCUCAUUAAUUUUCCUAAGUAAAUUUCAAUUUUUUAGAAACUGUCUGCUAAUAGCUUUUUCAGGUAUCUUAGUGGCCAAAACCAUGCUAACAUUUCCCAGUUUCAAGCCAUGUUUACUCAAGAGAAUAACAGCAAUGAGAUGCAUGGCUACAACAAGGAGGCCACCCAUAAAAACUAAACCACCACAAAACAAUAAUUUCAAAGACAA